rnacentral:rRNA from 1 species
UGGGGAAUUUUGGACAAUGGGGGAAACCCUGAUCCAGCCAUCCCGCGUGUGCGAUGAAGGCCUUCGGGUUGUAAAGCACUUUUGGCAGGAAAGAAACGUCAUGGGUUAAUACCCCGUGAAACUGACGGUACCUGCAGAAUAAGCACCGGCUAACUACGUGCCAGCAGCCACGGUAAUACGUAGGGUGCAAGCGUUAAUCGGAAUUACUGGGCGUAAAGCGUGCGCAGGCGGUUCGGAAAGAAAGAUGUGAAAUCCCAGAGCUCAACUUUGGAACUGCAUUUUUAACUACCGGGCUAGAGUGUGUGAGAGGGGGGUGGAAUUCCGCGUGUAGCAGUGAAAUGCGUAGAUAUGCGGAGGAACACCGAUGGCGAAGGCAGCCUCCUGGGAUAACACUGACGCUCAUGCACGAAAGCGUGGGGAGCAAACAGG